rnacentral:rRNA from 1 species
AUACGGAGGGUGCAAACGUUGCUCGGAAUUAUUGGGCGUAAAGCGCGUGUAGGCGGUCGGCUAAGUCGGAUGUGAAAGCCCCGGGCUCAACCCGGGAAGUGCGUCCGAUACUGGCAGACUUGAGUACGAGAGAGGGUAGCGGAAUUCCCGGUGUAGAGGUGAAAUUCGUAGAUAUCGGGAGGAACACCAGUGGCGAAGGCGGCUACCUGGACCGAUACUGACGCUGAGACGCGAAAGCGUGGGGAGCAAACAGGAUUAGAUACCCUAGUAGUCC